rnacentral:rRNA from 1 species
CCUACGGGUGACAGCAGUGGGGAAUAUUGCACAAUGGGGGAAACCCUGAUGCAGCGACGCCGCGUGAGUGAAGAAGUAUUUCGGUACGUAAAGCUCUAUCAGCAGGGAAGAAAAUGACGGUACCUGACUAAGACGCCCCGGCUAACUACGUGCCAUCAGCCGCGGUAAUACGUAGGGGGCAAGCGUUAUCCGGAUUUACUGGGUGUAAAGGGAGCGUAGACGGCAGCGCAAGUCUGGAGUGAAAUCCCAUGGCUUAACCAUGGAACUGCUUUGGAAACUGUGCAGCUAGAGUGCAGGAGAGGUAAGCGGAAUUCCUAGUGUAGCGGUGAAAUGCGUAGAUAUUAGGAGGAACACCAGUGGCGAAGGCGGCUUACUGGACUGUAACUGACGUUGAGGCUCGAAAGCGUGGGGAGCAAACAGGAUUAGAUACCCCUGUAGUC